GACGAACGCUGGCGGCGUGCUUAACACAUGCAAGUCGAGCGGUAAGGCCCUUUCGGGGGUACACAAGCGGCGAACGGGUGAGUAACACGUGGGUGACCUGCCCUCAGCUCUGGGAUAAGCCCUGGGAAACUGGGUCUAAUACUGGAUAUGACUCCACGGUGCAUGUCGUGGGGUGGAAAGCCUUGUGCGGCUGAGGAUGGGCCCGCGGCCUAUCAGCUUGUUGGUGGGGUGANGGCCUACCAAGGCGACGACGGGUAGCCGGCCUGAGAGGGCGACCGGCCACACUGGGACUGAGACACGGCCCAGACUCCUACGGGAGGCAGCAGUGGGGAAUCUUGCGCAAUGGGCGAAAGCCUGACGCAGCGACGCCGCGUGAGGGAUGACGGCCUCGG
rnacentral:rRNA from 1 species